CACCCCCCCCCCCCCCCCAAUUCCUGAUUCCCCCAUUUCACACAGCCGAUCGGCAAGGCGACCCCCACUCACGACCUCUCACCCUUAACUACGACGGCCCUCAUCAUCCCUCUUCCGCGACAGCUCACGAGUCACGACACUUCAUCCUCUAUCCUCCCUCCUUGAAUUUGCAGAAAGGUUUCAAAUUUUCAAUCGCCGGUUGAAAGGGCAAGUCUCAGAAAAAAGGAAUGGUGGCACAUCUAGCAUUGGGGAAGGCACAUGAGGGCAACCAAGGCGCCACUUGCUCACAACUGGAUGGAGUGUUUUUGUUAGUUGUAAGAAAUUAGUAUCUGGGGAUGGGUUUAUAUUCCUAAG